rnacentral:tRNA from 2 species
GGAUCCUUAGCUCAGCCGGUUAGAGCGUCCGGUUUACAUCCGGAAGGUCGUAGGUUCGAGUCCUACAGGAUCCA